AAAGAAAAAGGAAAAAAAAAGGCUAAGUGGGAAGACAAAGGAAUCGAGAGUCGGCGGCCUUGUCUUCGCCGACCAAUCAUCACCUCCCUUUCUUUCUUCUUCUUCUUCGUCUUCCAUCGCGCUCUCACACUCUCACCAAACACUGCCUUCUGUUUCUCUUCUUUGUUUUCUUUAACUUUUUGGUUCGUUUAGAUCCAUUGCCGAGGCGUCUUCCGGGUGCUUUUUUCAACAAUUCGGAAGAUUGCCUUAUCCCGACGGAAUUUCCUUUUGUGUUUGGUUUAGAUUUGAGGUUUUUCUUGCCCUUCCGUGUAAUUCUUAUCCAGUUCCGUGAAGUUUCGAGCUCGUUGCGCUUUUAUUAUGAGGGCAGCUGUUGAGCAAUCCACUUCCGAGAGGAACGAAGAUGGGGAGAAGGAGAAGAGAAAGAAGCGUCGAUCCAAUCGCCGAUCUAAGCAGACCCAGACCGCCUCUAUUACCACGGCUGUGUCUUGCAGUUCAGUCAAUGAAAUACCGGGAGAAACGUCAGAGUGCAUGGAAAAUGGUAGAAUAGAUGCCAACUUAACAGCACCCACAAAUUAUUCUUCUUUGACGGAACCAGCGUAUCGAUCAAAUAAUCCAACAGAGCAUGGUUUGACCAGAACAAAUAAGAUUGCGUUUAGUUCUUUGCCCCCUUUGCACAUUAGCGAACAAGCAAAAUUUUCUGAGUCGCAAAAUUUGAUAAAUCAGCAUUUUCAUUCAUCGAAUGCUGGUGGAAGGAUUAUAAAAUCAUGUCCUCAAGAGAUUGCCAGUGGAAGGGUGCCUGGGAUAUCUGCGAACCAGAAUUCACUUCCUGCCCAUGUGACUGAAAAUAACUCGCAAAGGAAAUAUUUUACUUCACACUGGUCGAUGGAUGAUGUUAAUGAAGGAUUACAGAAAGGUGACAUAUUUAUAGCAUUAUUUCGUGUUAAUGCUCACAAUGGACUUGAGGCCUACUGCAAAAUUGAUGGACUACCAGUUGAUGUCUUAAUCAAUGGAAUUGCAUCUCAGAAUAGAGCUGUGGAAGGUGACACAGUUGCAAUUAAGGUGGAUCCUUUUACGUCAUGGACUAGGAUGAAAGGUGCCAGUGAGGCUCAUAACAACAUGCAUUCAAUGGAAGAUGCCAACAUACAUGCUGAGGAGAAUGGAAAGGAUGGUCAUAACUGUGAAGAAAAGAAUAAAGUUGACGUCGUUAAGUCUAACAAUUUUAGGAGUUCCUCAUUACCUGAUAAGAGGUGUUGUAGUGAGGAAAAUAAAGUUUUGGAUGGAACUGCUUGUGAUGUUCUUUUAUCAAAUUACGAGCAAUCUGACGUAUACCAGUCAUUGGUUUUGGAUUCUUCACAGGCUCAUUAUUCUUGCAAUCAAGAUGAUGUCUCUAAAGCCAUAGGGAAGAUCUGUGCAGUGAUUAAUUUACAUCCAUCAAAAAGACCAACUGGCAGGGUAGUAGCCAUCCUAGAAAACUCUCUACAACGAGAAUCUAUUGUUGGCCAUCUUAUUGUCAAGAAGUUCCUCUCCUUCCAGGAGAUUUAUAUGAAAGAGAUGAAUACAAAAUCAUGUUUACCGUCAUCGCCUAAUCAUGGAUAUGUCCAGUUGAUGCCUAAUGAUGCAAGAUUCCCGAUGAUGAUGGUUCUUACAGAAGAUUUACCUGACCACAUUAAGAAGAGAUUGGACAAUGGUGAUGUAACAGUUGAGAGUGAGCUUGUCGCUGCACGAAUUCAUGAAUGGGUUCAAGAGAGUUCAGCUCCACGAGCACAUGUCUUGCAUGUUCUAGGACAAGGGAGUGAAGUAGAAUCGCAUGUUGAUGCUAUUUUAUUUCAAAAUGCAAUUCGUACGUGUGAAUUCUCUCAUGAUUCACUGUCUUGCCUCCCUCAUACCCCUUGGAAGAUCCCGCCAGAUGAACUUCAAUGCAGAAGAGAUCUUAGAAAUUUAUGCAUAUUUACUAUUGAUCCUUCCACUGCCUCUGAUCUUGAUGACGCUCUUUCUGUUGAAAAAUUAGCCAAUGGCAUCUUCAGAGUAGGUAUUCAUAUUGCUGAUGUAUCACAUUUUGUAUUGCCAGAAACUGCCUUAGAUAAGGAGGCUCAAAUCCGAUCAACAUGUUUUUAUCUUCUGCAACGCAAGAUACCAAUGUUGCCACCGUUACUCUCUGAGAAUAUUGGUUCACUUAACCCUGGAGUGGAUAGACUUGCGUUUUCAUUGUUUUUGGACAUAAACCAUUGUGGAGAUGUUAAAAAUUGUUGGAUUGGUCGUACUGUGAUAUGCUCUUGUUGCAAACUUUCAUAUGAGCAUGCUCAAGACAUCAUUGAUGGAUUACUUGAUUCUGAUUGUUCAAAGAUUUCAAGAAAUCAUUGCCCCCAUUUGCACGGCCAAUUUGCAUGGCCUGAUGUCAUUUCAUCUGUUAAAAUUCUUCAUGAAAUUUCGAAAACUCUAAAGGAGAAGAGAUUUAGAGAUGGGGCCUUGCGGCUUGACAAUUCUAAAAGAGUUUACUUAUAUGAUGAAUAUGGAAUUCCGUAUGAUAGUAAGUUUUAUGAACAUAAGGAUUCAAAUUUUCUUGUCGAGGAGUUCAUGCUUUUGGCAAAUACUACUGUUGCUGAAGUUGUAUCCAGAACUUUUCCGGACAGUGCAUUAUUGAGAAGGCAUCCUGAACCUGUAAUGAGGAAACUCAGAGAAUUUGAAUCAUUUUGUUCUAAGCAUGGUUUUGAACUCGACACAUCCUCUUCAGUGCAGUUUCAACAGUCAUUGGAGCAGAUAAGGAAAAAACUUCAUGAUGAUCCUUUACUGUUCGAUAUUCUCAUAUCCUAUGCUACAAGGCCAAUGCAAUUAGCAACUUAUUUCUGUAGUGGAGAGUUAAAAGAUGGUGAAAAUGGGAGUCACUACGCACUGGCUGUCCCCCUAUACACACAUUUCACUUCACCAUUGCGACGGUAUCCUGAUAUUGUUGUCCAUCGCACGCUUGCAGCAGCUAUUGAGGCCGAGGAGUUGUAUUUGAAGCAUCAAGGAAUCAUACAGAAAGUUAAUGGUGAUGAACAGAUGAGAUGUUUUACUGGCAUUCAUUUUGACAAAGAUGCUGCUGACUCCUUAGAAGGUAGAGAAGCAUUAUCGGCUGCUGCACUGAAGCAUGGAGUUCCAUGCACUAAAUUACUUUCAGAUGUUGCUCUGCACUGCAAUAAUAGAAAAUUGGCUAGUAAGCAUGUCGCGGAUGCAUGUGAUAAGCUCUACAUGUGGGCUCUUUUGAAGAAAAARGAGAUUUUGUUAUCAGAUGCGAGGGUACUGGGCCUUGGUCCAAGAUUUAUGUCUCUUUAUAUUCAGAAGCUGGCUAUUGAGCGGAGAAUAUACUACGACGAAGUUGAAGGUUUGGCAGUUGAAUGGCUUGAUGCUUCAUCGACAUUGGUGCUUAGUUUUUUUGGUACUAGGCGCUCGUUUAAGAGUAGAGGUUCAAGUAAGUGGAAGGCAUUGGAAGAAGUUGCACUAGUUAUUUCUCCUUGCGACCUGAAUGUUCAAGAGAGGAUUCUUGGAGGGAGUCCUAGUGAGUCGGGUGGAGYAAGUACUACAGAGGGUGCUACUGUUGAACAAGAGUCCAAUUUGAAAUCUCAUACUUCAGAUACUGGAAUUGUCCCUGCAGUUUUCCCCCUCACAGUACGACUCUUUUCGACCAUACCUGUAGCACUUCAUGCCAUUGGUGGGGAUGAUGGACCCAUCGACAUCGGUGUUAGGCUAUACAUGAGCUCAUAUUUAAGGUAAACCAUGGUGUUCGAUGUGGCAAACCAAACCAUUUGUGUUGCCAUUCCACUGCUCCUUCAGAACAUGAUAACGGCACAGACAGUUUUUUUCUUUCUUUUUGAUUUCUGGAAUUGCCCUGCUCUGUUGUAGAUAAGAAGAUCAGUGCAAGGCAAUAGUGUUUAGGUAUAAAGGAGGAAGGURUGUUGGUGUAAUAUCUGCUGAAGCUUCAUUAAGUAGGGAGACAGAACAUGAUCUGGUGGAGAGUGUAGAUAAAGGAGGGAACAAAAGAAAAAGGGUACUAUGUGUGGCUUCAGCACUAAUUGCUUUUUAGUUGUGUAGGGAAAAAAACAAAAUGGGAAGCUGGUUUUCUGGAGAAGGCCAUUGUUUUUUGUCGGCCAGUUCCAUUCACCGUACAACUUUUUUCUCCAUCCACCCAUCAACAAAUCCAGCUUCAGACAUAUGUUCUUUAUUUGCAGCCCAAUCAAGUUUUUUUUUUUGGUUGUUGGGCGGCUCCAACUAGGUUGUAUUUGAUACCACUUUUUCGCUACUUUUUUCUGUUAUUUGAAAACCUUCAGAGAAUGGUUUGCAGCUGCUGUUUGAAACACAGAAAUGGGCCCAGCGAUGAAUAGGUGAGAAGGCCCAAAUCCAAGAGAUGGUUCAGUCGGGGGCUCCGCUCUCUCUCUC